AGGUACAAUUGGGCGGAAAAGGUAAUUGACCCUUAAAGCAAUUGCAGCUGAGUCCUCAACACAUCCAGAGCUGGUACAGCCUUCAGAGUUGUCCCUAGUUGAGGGAAGAAGAACCAGCUAUUUACGUCCCUCCAUCCGCAGUCUUAGUGGGGGACCAUCUUAUGAAGGGGUAAUCUUAGACAUGACAUCUUCUAUGGCUUAGAGCAGGGGUCUUGUUGGCCUCACUGUCUCUGUCACAACUACUUCAAUCUGCUGAUGUAGAGCAAAAGCAGCCAUAGACAAUAUGUAAACAAAGGGCAUAGCUGCGUUCCAACGAAACUUUAUGCGCUAAAACAGGUAGCCAACUCAUGGGCCAUAGUCUGCUAACCCAAGGCCUAGAGUUAUUCUCACUGAGAGGCACAGCUCUGAGACAUCAGCAGUUGAUAUUCCCGGAAGCUGGGGGAUGAGUUCUUAACCCUCAAUUGCAGGUUUGGGCAGAGCACCAUAGGUGCGCUGCAGUUCCCGCCUCGCACAUUUCGGAUCUACAUGCUUCUUAUGAUUAGGUUUGGCCAACUCUUAAUCAGAAGUUUGCUGUAAAUUAUGGCGGUUGAGGGCACCACGAGCUUUGAGGACAUGGGAGAUUAUUGCUGAGAAAGCUGAAAUUUUCAACAGAAAUUCCGGGAAGCCAGAAGUCUCUGGGUAAUCAUUAACAGAAAAGGUGCAUGGUGCCACAGCCAUGGUGUAGCAUAAACAAAAGUCGACAUAGAGAAAACAAUGAUUUGAACACAAAACAUGGACUCUGGAAUUUAUAUGAAAAGUCAGAGAAGAAAGAAGAAAGAAAAGAAUGCUAUUCCAAUGUGACUUGAAGGAAAGUUAAAAGAAGUAUGAACUUGAUGAUAAAACCAGUGGCUGAAUUAGUAACUGCUUGAGCUGUACUCCUAAGAGAUUUAUGAAUAAAUGGAUGUCAACCAUUAGGACAGGAGUGGUGUGGCAAGGCUGCUGUCUGCAGACACUGGUGAAAAGUUACUGAAGAGUUAACACACGACAGUCAAGGCUGGAAGAGAUCUCAACGGAUGAAAGAAUAGAUUGAAAGCAAUGAGAUAAAAUCCUAUAGGAAUAAUUGUAAAGUCUGGUGACUUGGUUCAAAAUAUUUAUUGUGUAAGUGUAGGAUAGAAAAGAAAUGUUCCACAUUGUCAUACUUAGUGGCUUCAUUGAGCGAUUUAAUAUUUGUCAACAGUGAGUUAUUAUGCUAGAAAGGACAAUGCAAUCAUAGGCUGCACUAAUAGAAGUAGAGUGUCUAAAACAAGGAAGGGAAUUAUCCCAGGAGAUCAGAGAACAGUGGCACUGAGUGCACUAGUAACAUUACAUGGGGAACAUCAUAUUGCAAGACGUGGCAGAUAAAUAUGUGAAGAAAAUGGGAAUAUUUUGUCUGUAGAAAGAAAGUUAUUGGAGGUGCAUGAUGGCUGCCUUAGCUGUUUAACGGGAUCGUAUAUACAAGAUAGAUAAAAUUUAUUCUUCAUGACUCAGGCAUAUGGCUUCUGAAAGGAAGCCAAAGGGAAGCCACUUUUGGUCCAAAAGAAGGAACACAUUAAUUGGAACUCUUAAAAAAGUAAACCGGACGCUUUUCCAGGCAGUGAAUUCGCUUGCACCAAAAGCACCUAAGAAGAUACUGGAAAUUCAAGUUACAAUUAUAAAAGAGUCCUUCACUGAGUGACAGGCUGAUAACCUGUCAGCUAACCUCUUAGCUUCUUUCCAAGUGGUAACAUAUUUCAAGAACCAAAUUAAGACCGGGAAUUAGGCACCUUGUGAAUGAUGACUACAAAGCUAGUAAGGCAGCAUCUUUGCCAUAAUACAAGUUUUAUUGCCUACACAUUCCAUUGGAAUAGGCCUUUCUUGUCUGCUGUGGCAUCUGUAGACUAUUAUUCAUUAUCUACCAUGUAUUUUAACUAUAGGAUACUUAUUUGGGAAACAUUUUACGGAACUGAAUUCACAACAGAAAUCUUUGUUUCUGGAAUAAUUGAAACAUACAUCUAGGUGUUAUGAUGAUGAUUAAAUUGUGUUUCCUUCCAAGAUAUUAGUAUCUAUUAUUUCUCUUUAUUUGUAGCCCUGACAUUAUUUUACACCAUAAAAAUAUACCUUCAGGAUAGUAUUCAAAAA
ensembl:lncRNA